AGCCGGGUAAGUUCUACACGACUGCUCCCCGGGAACUCCGUCAGGUCUUGAUCGAAGCAGCGGUACCGGGUCGUAGCGGUGCGAUGUAGAGGGCUUACCCU
rnacentral:SRP_RNA from 1 species